AUUGAACGCUGGCGGAAUGCUUUACACAUGCAAGUCGAACGGCAGCACGGACUUCGGUCUGGUGGCGAGUGGCGAACGGGUGAGUAAUGUAUCGGAACGUGCCCAGUCGUGGGGGAUAACGUAGUGAAAAUUACGCUAAUACCGCAUACGAUCUAUGGAUGAAAGCGGGGGAUCGCAAGACCUCGCGCGAUUGGAGCGGCGGAUAUCAGAUUAGGUAGUUGGUGGAGUAAAGGCCCACCAAGCCAACGAUCUGUAGCGGGUCUGAGAGGACGACCAGCCAAACUGGAACUGAGACACGGUCCAGACUCCUACGGGAGGCAGCAGUGGGGAAUUUUGGACAAUGGGCGAAAGCCUGAUCCAGCCAUUCCGCGUGCAGGAUGAAGGCCCUCGGGUUGUAAACUGCUUUUGUACAGAACGAAAAGGUUUCUACUAAUACUAGGAGCUCAUGACGGUACUGUAAGAAUAAGCACCGGCUAACUACGUGCCAGCCGCCGCAGUAA
rnacentral:rRNA from 1 species